AUUGAACGCUGGCGGCAGGCCUAACACAUGCAAGUCGAACGGUAACAGGAAGACGCUUGCUUCUUUGCUGACGAGUGGCGGCCGGGUGAGUAAUGUCUGGGAAACUGCCUGAUGGAGGGGGAUAACUACUGGAAACGGUAGCUAAUACCGCAUAACGUCGCAAGACCAAAGAGGGGGACCUUCGGGCCUCUUGCCAUCGGAUGUGCCCAGAUGGGAUUAGCUAGUAGGUGGGGUAACGGCUCACCUAGGCAACGAUCCCUAGCUGGUCUGAGAGGAUGACCAGACACACUGGAACUGAGACACGGUCCAGACUCCUACGGGAGGCAGCAGUGGGGAAUAUUGCACAAUGGGCGCAAGCCUGAUGCAGCCAUGCCGCGUGUAUGAAGAAGGCCUUCGGGUUGUAAAGUACUUUCAGCGGGGAGGAAGGGAGUAAAGUUAAUACCUUUGCUCAUUGACGUUACCCGCAGAAGAAGCACCGGCUAACUCCGUG
rnacentral:rRNA from 1 species